AACAUUCAUUGCUGUCGCUGGGUUGGACUCUGUGAAAAAGCUCACUGAACAAUGAGUGCAA
ensembl:miRNA